GGCAUGCAUGGCUGUAUGUCGCUUUGGAUAAAAGCUUCUGCUAAAUGGCAGAUA
rfam:Salmo salar isolate Sally breed double haploid chromosome ssa06, whole genome shotgun sequence.